rnacentral:rRNA from 2 species
UGGGGAAUAUUGCGCAAUGGAGGAAACUCUGACGCAGCAACGCCGCGUGAAGGAUGAAGGCUUUCGGGUUGUAAACUUCUUUGAUCGGGGACGAAGAUGACGGUACCCGAGGAACAAGCCACGGCUAACUACGUGCCAGCAGCCGCGGUAAUACGUAGGUGGCAAGCGUUGUCCGGAAUUACUGGGUGUAAAGGGCGUGUAGGCGGGGCGGCAAGUCAGAUGUGAAAUACCGUGGCUUAACUGCGGGGGUGCAUCUGAAACUGUCGGUCUUGAGUGUCGGAGAGGAAAGUGGAAGUCCCAGUGUAGCGGUGAAAUGCGUAGAGAUUGGGAGGAACACCAGUGGCGAAGGCGGCUUUCUGGACAGUAACUGACGCUGAGGCGCGAAAGCGUGGGGAGCGAACAGG